GAGGACGCAUGCGCGCAGGAUGGCCACCCAGCCGUGGACGCUCCGGCGCGCGUCGUGGCUUGAACUCUGGCGCCAGAGGCUUGGGCGUCGGUGGCGGUCGGAGGAGCUGCUGAGCGCCGCUGGGCACUGGACUCUCUGUACCUUCUGGCUUUCGGAUUUCGAGUCGUAGAUUUGCGUUGCUGUGGUUGUGAUGUACUUAACGGAAGUAAAGUUCCAGAACACUGCCUGAUGCAAGGCGAGCUCCGAGGAAGUUUUUCUGUUUCUCAUCGUCUAAGGAGAGGCUCCAUCCUGGCCAGAAAAAGAAACGAACAAGAGAAUAAAGAAGAAAGGAACAGAAAGAAAGAAAAUUGAAUAGAUGGCAUGGUGAGCAGACUGAAAUACGACUGAAAUUAUUUCGUUUUCUCCUAGUAGUCAAACUAUGAAGCACUUUAUAGUCCAUAAACUAAGCAGGCGGAGAGUCUUCUGUUCCUGAAGAGCGAGGUUGGCCCAGUUGGGCGGAACUUAGUGUAAUGGCUCCGUUCUCCAGUAGAUGGCACUGCUUAGCUUGCUGGGGUGGACGGUUGUGGCGCUUGUUGUAGGUGCAUUUGCGCAUGCAUGGGAGUGGUGAAAAUGACGUCACCCAGCCACCCAUUCUCUAGUAUCAGAACUCUGUUCUCCCCGAUCAGCAAUCGCACACCCGUCCUUUGUAUUCGGCUUCCAUCCACUCCCUGCUUUUAUGCAGUUCAUGACCAAGCCCCAGGCAGCACCUCCCUCCUGAAUUUUGUCUCUGAUGCGGUUGUUUUUCCUGGCCCCUUACUUCUGAGGGACUGGGGCUUUGACCCGUUCUGCCCUCUGUGGAGGGUCUCACCAAGCAAUGGCCUGGUGCCAGCCGCACCCAGGAACGUUUGAGAGACCGUGCUGCUGCUGAUGCCCAGAGACUGCGGCCGGGUGCCAGCCUGCCCCAGAUAAAGUUCACACGAUAGUGUAGCAGCAGCAUUUCAGGGACUAUGGAAAAAUCACAACACGUGUCUGGCACCAGGCUUUACCCCCAACGACCCUGCUCUAGUACCAGCGAAUGUGGUUGUUCUCCCGGGUCCACUGGGGCCUUGCCUUUGGGAACCACACAGGUGUCCUCCCAGCAGGGGAACCGCCUCUCCCGUGUGGCCUGAAGAACCCCAGACUCCACUCUGCUCCUGGAGAUUCGCCCUUCCCGCCAGAGCACCACCAGGUAUCAGCUGCGGAGUUUCAGCCUCUGCACUCCCCCUGUUUGUAGAGUCUUAAUGGAAUUUAAACCCUCUCCUUUCUCCUUCUCCUUUUUUAGUUCAUUCCCUGCGGCUGUUUACAUUUUUCCACUUUCUCUCCAGGUGCUUUUGAGGGGGGUGCUUUUCACCUCCUCCCCCCACCCCCCAUGUCUCCAUCCUCUCUCCACACACAAAAGCAGGUCCUUACCCUCCUUGGCUCUCUACCUCCCAGUUCACCUCUCUGUGCUGCAUGCCUGCUGAAUUCUGUGGUUCAGGUUGUGCACAUUGUUGUGUUAAGCCUCAGGUCAGUUUUCUAGGUGUGCAGGAUGGUUUAGUGUUGGUCUGGCUGUAUUUCAUGGAUGCGAGACACACAAAAAACUUCCAUGCUGUUCUGCCAUCUUGGCUCCUCCCCACCAUAGGUCCGAAAGGAAGUUUUUUAAAUGAAAAAUGCAUCCUUGUGCUGUGGGAUGACCUCAAGUGGCCUAGUGUGUGAAUGAUUGGAGUUGAAGGAGAGGAGAGACAGAGAGAUGGAAAAAUAUUUUAAGAACUAAUGGCUGAAUAAUUUCCAAGCUUGAUGAAAAUUAUAAACCUACAGAUACAAGAAGCUCAACAAAUCUCACCCACAAAAAUCUCCACCGAGGCACUCCCAAAGGGGCACCUGGCUGGCUUCAUCAGUAAAUCACGCACCUCUUGGGCUCGGGGUUGUGAGUUCAAGCCCGAAGCCCCACAUUGAGUAUGGAGAUUAUUUAAAAACUAAAAUCUUUACGGGCGCCUGGGUGGGUGGCUCAGUUGGUUAAGUUCCAACUUUGGCUCAGGUCAUGAUGUCACAGUUCAUGAGUUCAAGCCCCAAGUCCAGCUCCAUGCUGAUGGUGAGGAGCCUGCUUGGGAUUGUCUCUCUCUCUCUCCUCCUCUCUCUGCCCUUUCCCUAUGUUCUCUCUCUCUCAACAGUAAGUAACUUUU